rnacentral:tRNA from 1 species
UGGGGUGCAGCUCAGUGGCAGAGUGUACACUUAGUAUAUGUGAGGCCCUGGGUUCAACCCCCAGCAUUUUUG